CCUACGGGUGGCAGCAGUGAGGAAUAUUGGUCAAUGGACGAGAGUCUGAACCAGCCAAGUAGCGUGAAGGAUGACUGCCCUAUGGGUUGUAAACUUCUUUUAUAUGGGAGUAAAAUGUUCCACGUGUGGGAUUUUGUAUGUACCAUAUGAAUAAGGAUCGGCUAACUCCGUGCCAGCAGCCGCGGUAAUACGGAGGAUCCGAGCGUUAUCCGGAUUUAUUGGGUGUAAAGGGAGCGUAGGUGGAUUGUUAAGUCAGUUGUGAAAGUUUGCGGCUCAACCGUAAAAUUGCAGUUGAAACUGGCAGUCUUGAGUACAGUAGAGGUGGGCGGAAUUCGUGGUGUAGCGGUGAAAUGCUUAGAUAUCACGAAGAACUCCGAUUGCGAAGGCAGUUCACUGGACUGCAACUGACACUGAGGCUCGAAAGUGUGGGUAUCAAACAGGAUUAGAUACCCCAGUAGUC
rnacentral:rRNA from 1 species